rnacentral:rRNA from 1 species
AUUGAACGCUGGCGGCAGGCUUAACACAUGCAAGUCGAGCGGUAACAGAGAGAAGCUUGCUUCUCUGCUGACGAGCGGCGGACGGGUGAGUAAUGCCUAUGAACCUGCCUAGUAGUGGGGGAUAACUUGCCGAAAGGUAAGCUAAUACCGCAUACGUCCUACGGGAGAAAGGUGGGGACCUUCGGGCCUUUCGCUAUUAGAUGAGCCUAGGUCGGAUUAGUUAGUUGGUGAGGUAAUGGCUCACCAAGACCGCGAUCCGUAACUGGUCUGAGAGGAUGAUCAGUCACACUGGAACUGAGACACGGUCCAGACUCCUACGGGAGGCAGCAGUGGGGAAUAUUGGACAAUGGGGGGAACCCUGAUCCAGCCAUGCCGCGUGUGUGAAGAAGGUCUUAGGAUUGUAAAGCACUUUAAGUUGGGAGGAAGAGCAGUUAACUAAUAUUUGACUGUUUUGACGUUACCGACAGAAUAAGCACCGGCUAACUUCGUG